UACGGGGGGAGCAAGCGUUGUUCGGAUUUACUGGGCGUAAAGGGCGCGUAGGCGGCGUGACAAGUCACUUGUGAAAUCUCCGGGCUUAACCCGGAGCGGCCAAGUGAUACUGUCGUGCUAGAGUGCGGAAGGGGCUACUGGAAUUCUCGGUGUAGCGGUGAAAUGCGUAGAUAUCGAGAGGAACACCUGCGGCGAAGGCGGGUAGCUGGGCCGACAUUGACGCUGAUGAGCGAAAGCCAGGGGAGCAAACGGG
rnacentral:rRNA from 1 species